ensembl:lncRNA
CGUGUGUGAGUGGGAGGAGUUGCGCGGGCAGCCACACCCCGGCUGAUUGGCUGCUGCCACACCUCAGGCUGGAAUCCGCUGGGUCACGUGGUCACAUGGUGGCCUGCAACAGACUUUGGGCUGACCUGGAUUUGGCUCGGCGGCGCUUCUCUCUGCACCGGAUUCCCCCUAAAGAAAGAAAAGGGUCCAUUCCCAGGUCGAUGAACGAAGUUACAGAUGUGUGUGUGUUGCGUCCCCCCUCCUCCCCCGGGGGAUUUGUGAGAGAGGGUUUUUUUUUUUUUUUCUUUAGCCGGCGUUGAGAUCCGGAGGUAAUUUCUCCCUCCUCCAAACUCCGUAAUGCCGUUUCCUGUCGUACUUCCUCUCCUACCUGUCUUCCUUUUCGCAUUUUCCUCCCCGCUGCCCACUUCACCCCUCAUUCCUUCUCCAGAUUCCUCCCCCCAUCACCC